rnacentral:rRNA from 1 species
UACGAAGGGGGCGAGCGUUGUUCGGAUUUACUGGGCGUAAAGGGCGCGUAGGCGGCCCUUCUGGUCGCGUGUGAAAGCCCUGGGCUCAACCUAGGAAGUGCACUCGAAACUUCGGAGCUGGAGUCCUGGAGAGGAAGGCGGAAUUCUCGGUGUAGAGGUGAAAUUCGUAGAUAUUCGCAAGAACACCAGUGGCGAAGGCGGCUCACUGGCCCGAUACUGACGCUGAGGCACGAAAGCGUGGGGAGCAAACAGG